UCACAUUGUCAACUUAAAAAUCUGUAGAACAUAUUUUGUGAUCAUAAAAAAACAUAGGAAUGUAGAUAAUAUAGGAAAUAAAAAAGUAAAUGAGUCACUUCUGUAUCACUACACAGCACUUUGGAGCUUCUCCUUCCAUUUUUAACUAUGUUUAACCCAACAGAACCUGAAACAAAAACGCAGAUGCUGAAUUGGGUCUUACAGACUAAAAGGCGUAUCCUACAAACGUGUUAAGAGAUGAGAACAUUUUCCUAAAGUGCAAUGUUCUGGCUGCAAGAAACAGAAGCCUAUUUAAACCAGCUUUCUUCAUUUGAAAAUUGGGAUCAAAACAAUAUCACCUCUUGGAUCAUGAAGUUUAAAUGAGGUAAUAUAUGUAACAAAGCCAGCAGACUGUCUGAAAUACAGAAUAUGCUCAAUUAUUAUUAUCAUCCCAAGUGAACUGGACAAGUGAACAACUGAACAAUUGAACAUAUGUAUAAUGUAUAUACAUUGAUGCUUACAGAUCUAGAAAACGUCUCCACCUCCCUAGCACCGUGCACUGAACCUUACAUGGAAUCACACUCGGUGAACGCUCGCCAGCGACGGGGGAUGCGCUCAUCACAGCUCUUGACAUGGUGCCUAAUACUUCGGUUACAGGAGGAAAGUCAACGCCCCCCAAAUUUCUACAAAGAUGGUGAUGGUUCCAACAGUUUCAAGACUGAUCCUGAAAUGCCCAUAAGUGAAGAAGGGUCUCCUCCGGAUUCCUCUUCCUUUGAAAUGCAAAUUCUGUCAUAGGAUCCCAAUUUUUCUGUAAAUAAUUCAGAGAUCCUACCAACUCGUGGUUACAGGAGAAGGUCCAAGUUUCUAAUGUUACCUCUUUAGGUAGAAAUCUAUAAGUACCUGUUGAUAAUAUCAAUCAGCCCACUCCCAGCUUCAAAUGUAUUUAGAGAAAUCCAAAAUUCCAACUGUUUUCUAAGCUCUAAACUGUAUUCUCUACAAAAACAUUCAUGUGACUGACUUUGUAGGAAUUGCCUUAUUGUAACACUUAGGUAUUAUCUCAGGUAGUGAUGAAACUAACAGCUGCCACUAGUUAAUCAAGUUAAUUUUUACUCAAAGAGCAACACUGUCUUAAAUCUCAUUCUUAAUUAUCUUUGGAUGGCAAAAAUCUUAAAACUAAAUGAUUCCUCCCUUUCGUACUAUUUUUCUCCUGCUUUGAUUUACAGUAUUUCCCAGUAGCCAGGAAGUGUCACAUACUGGCCACUUGGUAAGAACAUUUAUAAGUAAGGGACUUCUAAAAAAUCAUAGCUAGAUAAAUUCUCCUAAAGUAGUAUUUCAACUGAGGGCUUAGGUACCUGGAGACUAGAAACAGACGUUCUGAGUUCAGUUUCAGCUUUACCACUUAUUAGCUCUCGAUCUUUGG